UACGUAGGCAGCGAGCGUUGUUCGGAGUUACUGGGCGUAAAGAGUGCGUAGGCGGUUUUCUAAGUUUGGUGUGAAAUCUCCCGGCUUAACUGGGAGGGUGCGCCGAAAACUCGAAGGCUUGAGUAUGGGAGAGGUAAGCGGAAUUCCUGGUGUAGCGGUGAAAUGCCUAGAUAUCAGGAGGAACACCUGCGGUGUAGACGGCUUACUGGACCAUAACUGACGCUGAGGCACGAAAGCGUGGGUAGCAAACAGG
rnacentral:rRNA from 1 species